ACUGAGAAGCAAAUCAAAACACAACGAAUCGUUCAAAAGAGCUUAACUUUAAGCAAAGCCCAUUUUAGAAGUGCAUCAAAAUUCUCCAUCUAUGUGAAAUGUGAGUUAAGCUCUAGUCUAAUAUCAAUUCCAAAGAAGCAGACUUGGGAGAAAUAACAAUCUACGUUAGAAGAAGAUCUAAACAUAGGAGACACCAAAAGCAAAAAAGUUUCCAUUUUUCAAAUCAAAAUGACGAAUCGAGCUGAGUGGCAGAUCCGGGUUUAAGAAAAGGGAUCUCAAAAACCUCACCCAUUAACUGAUUUGGUCAUAGCA